rnacentral:rRNA from 1 species
AUGCAGUCGAGCGGUAGAGAGAGCUUGCUUCUCUUGAGAGCGGCGGACGGGUGAGUAAUGCCUAGGAAUCUGCCUGGUAGUGGGGGAUAACGUUCGGAAACGGACGCUAAUACCGCAUACGUCCUACGGGAGAAAGCAGGGGACCUUCGGGCCUUGCGCUAUCAGAUGAGCCUAGGUCGGAUUAGCUAGUUGGUGGGGUAAUGGCUCACCAAGGCGACGAUCCGUAACUGGUCUGAGAGGAUGAUCAGUCACACUGGAACUGAGACACGGUCCAGACUCCUACGGGAGGCAGCAGUGGGGAAUAUUGGACAAUGGGCGAAAGCCUGAUCCAGCCAUGCCGCGUGUGUGAAGAAGGUCUUCGGAUUGUAAAGCACUUUAAGUUGGGAGGAAGGGCAGUUGCCUAAUACGUAACUGUUUUGACGUUACCGACAGAAUAAGCACCGGCUAACUCUGUGCCAGCAGCCGCGGUAAUACAGAGGGUGCAAGCGUUAAUCGGAAUUACUGGGCGUAAAGCGCGCGUAGGUGGUUUGUUAAGUUGGAUGUGAAAUCCCCGGGCUCAACCUGGGAACUGCAUUCAAAACUGACUGACUAGAGUAUGGUAGAGGGUGGUGGAAUUUCCUGUGUAGCGGUGAAAUGCGUAGAUAUAGGAAGGAACACCAGUGGCGAAGGCGACCACCUGGACUAAUACUGACACUGAGGUGCGAAAGCGUGGGGAG